UCUAGAGGAAAAAAGGUAAUACUAUUUAAGGAAACCUUUAUUAUCUGGCGGCCUUUAUUCUCUUUAGAGGAACUCGUCUCAUAAUCGUCAUUCCUCGUUAUUUCUAACUUUUUUUAAUCUCUUAUACCGCCGUCUCAAGAUUCAUUUUAUUUUUUCUAAAAAAAGAAAUUUUAUCAAGUCAGGUAAAGGUGAGGAAUAUAAAAAAGGGAAGAUAAGUUACUUAUAAAAAUUAUUUUUGGAUAUAUUCUUAACAUUAAUAUUGAAAAAGGAUUUAAUAGUAAUUUUUUAUUAUUAUUUUAUUAUGAAAUAGUAAAAUAGGUGC
rnacentral:rRNA from 1 species